ACACCCUCACCAGGGCCAAAAAAACUUUCCAAUGUAUUCAUCAUCAUCAGGGUGGUUUGGCUUUUUUUUUUUUCUUUUUUUGUCCUAUCCUCUUCUUCAGACCACUUAUCUCUCCCCCCUCCUCUCGCCCAGCACCAUCGCAGCCUUCCCCUGAUCUGCCCCUUUAAGAAAAAUCAGCCCUCUCCGCUCCUAACCCUCCGCACACUGACCUUACACACUGGACAAUAUUUAAGGAUCAAGGUGCCAUCAUAUAAAGAGGUGGAAGGCAGCGCGCUCGGGAAGCGCUCCCGAGGGACGGGGGAAGCGGGGACACCCGAGGAAAGUGGGGAGAGAAAGGAAAAAUAAAAUUAAAAAAAACAAAAGGACGGAGCGAUAUCGACGAGCCCCGCAGGACCUGCCCGUCACCCCAAGAGCGAAGGUAGAGAGAGCCCAGGCAAGAACUGCUUUGAAGAAAGGAGCGAAGUGUAAAUAGCCCGAUGAUUGAUGUGCUGUCUUUGACUGCGGAGAAAGCACUAUUUUAAUUCAAGUGGCCAGGUCAGAUGGUCACGGAAGAAGGUUGAAAGGUAGGAUUUAAUGAGAUUAAUAUGGAGAGAGAGAAA